rnacentral:tRNA from 1 species
UUUAAAUAGUUUAGGAAAAAUAUUGGUUUGUGACUCCAAAGAGAUAUAAUUGGUUAUUUUAGACCA